GUGUCAGCAGCCGCGGUAAUACGGAGGAUCCAAGCGUUAUCCGGAUUCAUUGGGUUUAAAGGGUGCGUAGGCGGGAUAGUAAGUCAGUGGUGAAAGCCUGCAGCUUAACUGCAGAACUGCCAUUGAUACUGCUAACCUAGAGUACAGCUGAUGUGGGCGGAAUGUGUCGUGUAGCGGUGAAAUGCUUAGAUAUGACACAGAACACCGAUUGCGAAGGCAGCUCACAAAACUGUAACUGACGCUGAGGCACGAAAGUGUGGGGAUCGAACAGGAUUAGAUACCCCAGUAGUCC
rnacentral:rRNA from 1 species